rnacentral:rRNA from 1 species
UACGUAGGGGGCAAGCGUUGUCCGGAUUUAUUGGGCGUAAAGAGCGUGUAGGCGGCCUGAAAGGUCAGCUGUGAAACUCGAGGCUCAACCUCGAGACGUCGGUUGAAACCAUCUGGCUAGAGUCCGGAAGAGGAGAGUGGAAUUCCCGGUGUAGCGGUGAAAUGCGCAGAUAUCGGGAAGAACGACCCGUGGCGAAGGCGGCUCUCUGGGACGGUACUGACGCUGAGACGCGAAAGCGUGGGGAGCGAACGAGG